AAAGCUCAAAUUUAAAAUCUGGCAGUCUAUGGCUGUCCGAGUUGUAAUCUAGAGAAGUGAUGCCCGCGCUGGACCGUGUACAAGUCUCCUGGAAUGGAGCGUCAUAGAGGGUGAGAAUCCCGUCUCUGACACGGACUACCAGGGCUUUGUGGUAUGCUCUCAAAGAGUCGAGUUGUUUGGGAAUGCAGCUCUAAAUGGGUGGUAAAUUCCAUCUAAAGCUAAAUAUUGGCGAGAGACCGAUAGCGAA
rnacentral:rRNA from 1 species